rnacentral:rRNA from 1 species
UACAGAGGUCUCAAGCGUUGUUCGGAAUCACUGGGCGUAAAGGGUGCGUAGGCGGCGUAACAAGUCACUUGUGAAAUCUCCGGGCUUAACUCGGAAAGGUCAACUGAUACUGUGCGACUAGAGUGCGGAAGGGGCAACUGGAAUUCUCGGUGUAGCGGUGAAAUGCGUAGAUAUCGAGAGGAACACCUGCGGCGAAGGCGGGUUGCUGGGCCGACACUGACGCUGAUGCGCGAAAGCCAGGGGAGCGAACGGG